UACGUAGGUGGCAAGCGUUGUCCGGAUUUACUGGGCGUAAAGGGCGUGCAGGCGGUCUGUUAAGUGCAGGGUGAAAGCUCCCGGCUCAACUGGGAGAGGUCCUUGCAUACUGGCGGACUUGAGGGGGGUAGAGGAAAGUGGAAUUCCCGGUGUAGUGGUGAUAUGCGUAGAUAUCGGGAGGAACACCUGUGGCGAAGGCGGCUUUCUGGGCCCUACCGUCGGACGCUGAGACGCGAAAGCGUGGGGAGCG
rnacentral:rRNA from 1 species